CCCAACGGUUUCUGCCCCGUACCUCGCUCCACAACGACUCCAUCCUUCGAACAGGUGAUUGCCAGAUGUCGAUACACUCUCACCCAAUAUUUAUAGCGGCUCCUUAGGCUCGCUGUAAAUAUCUAGCAAUCAUCUAUUUGAAGGACAGAGUCCGAGCGAGGCACGGGGCAGAAACCGUUGGGAAGUUGUGUGCCUCGCUACACAAGGAACCGACCCUUCCAACAGAUGAUUGCCAGAUAUUUACAGCUAGCCUAAGGACCCACUAUAAAUAUUCGGUGAGAGUCUAUCGACAUCUGGCAACAAUCUAUUCGAAGGGUAUAGUCCUUGUGCAGCGAGGCACGGGACAGAAACCGUUGGGAAGUUUGUGUGCCUCGCUACACAACGACUCUACCCUUCCAACAGAUGAUUGUCAGAUGUACAUACACUCUCACCGAAUAUUUAGACCCGCUGUAAAUAUUCGGUGAGAGUUUAUCGACAUCUGGCAAUCAUCUGUUCGAAAG
rnacentral:misc_RNA from 1 species